rnacentral:rRNA from 1 species
AACGAACGCUGGCGGCAGGCUUAACACAUGCAAGUCGAACGAGACUUCGGUCUAGUGGCGCACGGGUGAGUAACGCGUGGGAACCUGUCCUAUGGUACGGAAUAACAUCGGGAAACUGGUGCUAAUACCGUAUAAGCCCCGAGGGGGAAAGAUUUAUCGCCAUAGGAGGGGCCCGCGUAGGAUUAGCUAGUUGGUGAGGUAACGGCUCACCAAGGCGACGAUCCUUAGCUGGUCUGAGAGGAUGAUCAGCCACACUGGGACUGAGACACG